rnacentral:lncRNA from 1 species
AUGCUUACUAGUCCAAAAUAAGAAUCACAGGAGAAUGCUGAGAAUUAACAAAAGAGCAAAAUUAGUUUAAAAAGUAGUCUUUGAUGCUUUGCAAAAAGUAUAGAAUUGAAAAACCAAGCACAUUAUAUUGGAAGCAUUGAAAGGAAUGAAUAGGAAGUGUUGGGUAAAUGGUGGCAAUUGUUCCAACUCAUCUGUGAAUGCAGGAACAGAACUGAAUGCAGGAAGCAGCUAAACAGGAUCCAUUCAGACUCAUCUGUCCCUCCUGUCUCCAGAAAGGCCACAGGGAAACCAUGGCAUGACAGCUGGUGGGGCACGAGCACUGAGAGAAGCCACAGAGGGGCCACAUCAAACGUUCCAACAACCCAUCAGGAAUGGUGGGCCAUCUUCAGAAUCAGGCAAACACUGCACACAGAGCCAUGCAUAGAGAAGAAGCUGCAAGAUAGACCACUGCCUAAAAUCAUCCAUGAACUGUGACUGAAACCAAAUAGCCUCAGAAUAUUGGAGCUCUAAGGAACCUUGGAGAUUCUCAAAUAAAUGAAUUCAUUUACAUUUUUUAGUGAGGACAUCUAAACUAACUGCCAGGUUCCUGAGACAG